CCCUUGAGAUGAUAAUCAAAUAGCUGCUGCAGUAAGGCCUUGGUCAAUGGAUCUACUAUAUUGUUCUUUGAAUCAACUCGUUUUAUGAUCCCAUCAUAAACGACGUGGAAGCAUCUUAAGAUGUGCUUGAGUUUUCAAAAGAGACCUUGGUUCAAACUCUAGAGCCAAAUCCAAUUUUGAGAUGAACUACUUCAUCCAGCUAGCUUCCCUAAGCAACUUCACUUAGCAGCAAUGUAAUCUGGCUCCAUGCUUGAGUCAACUACAUUGUCAUUAUAAACUCUUCUAACUCAUUGUUAUACUUUUCAGGAUAAACCCAUACCC
rnacentral:lncRNA from 1 species